rnacentral:rRNA from 1 species
AGCGAACGCUGGCGGCAGGCUUAACACAUGCAAGUCGAGCGGGCACUUCGGUGUCAGCGGCAGACGGGUGAGUAACACGUGGGAACGUACCCUUUGGUUCGGAAUAACGCUGGGAAACUAGCGCUAAUACCGGAUACGCCCUUUUGGGGAAAGGCUUGCUGCCGAAGGAUCGGCCCGCGUCUGAUUAGCUAGUUGGUGGGGUAAUGGCCUACCAAGGCGACGAUCAGUAGCUGGUCUGAGAGGAUGAUCCGCCACACUGGGACUGAGACACGGCCCAGACUCCUACGGGAGGCAGCAGUGGGGAAUAUUGGACAAUGGGCGCAAGCCUGAUCCAGCCAUGCCGCGUGAGUGAUGAAGGCCUUAGGGUUGUAAAGCUCUUUUGUCCGGGACGAUAAUGACGGUACCGGAAGAAUAAGCCCCGGCUAACUUCGUG